CAGGGCACUAGCUGACAUGAAUAAUGAUGGAAGAAUGGAUCAAGUGGAGUUUUCCAUAGCUAUGAAACUUAUCAAACUGAAGCUACAAGGAUAUCAGCUACCCUCUGCACUUCCCCCUGUCAUGAAACAGCAACCAGUUGCUAUUUCUAGCGCACCAGCAUUUGGAGGUAAUUCUGUCUGAAAAAUGAUGGCCCCCUGCAGGAAGAUAGUGCUGGGGAGAAGAAGGAGCAUGUUCACAUUUGAACCCUGGGAUGUAAAGUAAUCAAAAUGAAAGCAGAGAUGCAGGCCGCCAGUCAGGGGAAAAGGAAGAAACUUACAGUCCGCUGCUGCAGCUUCUGGGUUUUUUUUUUUUUUUCUCUUCCAUUAUCCUUCAGGUUGUUGCAUACUUCCUUUUGAUUUUCGGUUUCCAUAAUGUCUGUUUCUCCUUGUGCAUAAACAAUUCCUUUGGAUUAUGGCAUCUAGAAAUAUAUAUAUUUUGAAUCACA
rnacentral:lncRNA from 1 species